rnacentral:rRNA from 1 species
UACGUAGGGUGCGAGCGUUAAUCGGAAUACUGGGCGUAAAGCGUGCGCAGGCGGUUUCGUGAUGUCUGAUGUGAAAGCCCCGGGCUCAACCUGGGAAUUGCAUUGGAAACUAGCGGGCUGGAGUGUGGCAGAGGGGGGUGGAAUUCCACGUGUAGCAGUGAAAUGCGUAGAGAUGUGGAGGAACACCGAUGGCGAAGGCAGCCCCCUGGGCUAACACUGACGCUCAUGCACGAAAGCGUGGGGAGCAAACAGG